rnacentral:rRNA from 1 species
AACGAACGCUGGCGGCAUGCCUAACACAUGCAAGUCGAACGAGACCUUCGGGUCUAGUUGCGCACGGGUUCGUAACGCGUGGGAACCUGCCCUUAGGUUCGGAAUAACUCCCCGAAAGGGGUGCUAAUACCGGAUAAUGUCUUCGGACCAAAGAUUUAUCGCCUUUGGAUGGGCCCGCGUUUGAUUAGCUAGUUGGUAGGGUAAAAGCCUACCAAGGCGACGAUACAUAGCUGGUCUGAGAGGAUGAUAAGCCACACUGGGACUGAGACACGGCCCAGACUCCUACGGGAGGGAGGAGUGGGGAAUAUUGGAAAAUGGGCGAAAGCCUGAUCAAGCAAUGGCGGGUGAGUGAUGAAGGCCUUAGGGUUGUAAAGCUCUUUUACCCGGGAUGAUAAUGACAGUACCGGGAGAAUAAGCACCGGCUAACUCCGUG